AUUGAACGAUGGCGGCAGGCCUAACACAUGCAAGUCGAACGAGAGGCGGACGGGUGAGUAAUGUCUGGGAAACUGCCUGAUGGAGGGGGAUAACUACUGGAAACGGUAGCAAAUACCGCAUACCAUCGGAUGUGCCCAGAUGGGAUUAGAUAGUAGGUGGGGGAACGGCUUACCUAGGCGACGAUCCCUAGCUGGUCUGAGAGGAUGACCAGCCACACUGGCACUGAGACCAGGUCCAGACUCCUACGGGAGGCAGCAGUGGGGACUAUUGCCCAAUGGGCGCAAGCCUGAUUCAGCCAUGCCGCGUGUAUGAAGACGGCCUUCAGGUUGUAAAGUACUUUCAGCGAGGAGGCGUUACUCGCAGAAGAAGCACCGGCUAACUCCGUGCCAGCAGCCGCGGUAAUUC
rnacentral:rRNA from 1 species